AUACUUACCUGGACGGGUCAGUGAGCGAUCUAGAAGACGCAUGGCCUAGGUUAGUGAUCUCCAUUACACUUAGGAGGGGUGCUCGCCUAAGGUCUACCCAUGCGGUGGAGCCUGUAUCAUAAUUUGUAGUAGCGGGGGCCUGCGCUCGCGCGGUCCCUCC